CGAGACUUGUGCUAUAUUUUCGGAAUUCAUUUUUGUUCUUACGUUCUGGCUAAAAACAACUUUUUCGGUUUACGAAAAAUUCAAAUUCAUUUUUUUAAAAUUUUCAAAAUUAUGGAGACCUACGGCAUGGCAGCACCUGACAAUGACAGUGCGAUUGAUUGUUAUCAACAGUAUGUCGCGCAGACUGGCUACAGGUGUGAGCGACCCGAGGACGGGGAUCAUAUGAGAGAAGACUCUCGCGACUGUAUUGCGUACGGUAGACACGAUUGGUAUCCCCAAAGGCCUAGGAACUAUCACGACGAUGAUUCCAAUCCCUAUAGAGGCGCUGGCUAUCGCUCCCCAAUGAGACACGGCAUGGAGAAUCGACGAUACGAUUCACGAAAUGGAUUGUAUUCUCCCACGGAAAUGCGCCGGGGUGGUGGUGGUGGUGAUAACUACAAUUCCCUACCGGGUGUCGGAAGUUAUGAGCGCCCCAGUUGGCACCAUACUCGCCGAAAUCGUUGGUUCUAGAUUUUAUUUAUUGAGAAAUUGUGUGGAAAUCGGAUUUAAACAUCAAUCGCUGCCGGGAGUUGAAAGCUACGAGCAUCCGAUAUGGCAACCAUGCACUCCCAAAUCGUUGGAUCUUGAUGUUGAUUGUUCUCUUUUUUUUUUGGCAAAAAAAUUCAAGUGUAUUGUUAAUGAAAAAUAAAUGAUCCUAUUAAGAGGUCAAAAACGCUAGUUCGGAAGUUCCCGACUAGGUGUUACCCUAAAA